rnacentral:rRNA from 1 species
CAUGGUUGUCGUCAGCUCGUGUCGUGAGAUGUUGGGUUAAGUCCCGCAACGAGCGCAACCCUACUUGCUAGUUACCAUCAUUAAGUUGGGGACUCUAGCGAGACUGCCAGUGAUAAACUGGAGGAAGGUGGGGAUGACGUCAAAUCAUCAUGCCCCUUAUGACCUGGGCUACAAACGUGAUACAAUGGCUGGAACAAAGGGAUGCGAAGCAGUGAUGUGGAGCGAAACCCAUAAAAACAGUCUCAGUUCGGAUUGAAGUCUGCAACUCGACUUCAUGAAGUCGGAAUCGCUAGUAAUCGCGGAUCAGAACGCCGCGGUGAAUACGUUCUCGGGGUUU